rnacentral:rRNA from 1 species
UAUGACGAAGCUUCGUCGCAGGCUUAACACAUGCAAGUCGAGCGCCCCGCAAGGGGAGCGGCAGACGGGUGAGUAACGCGUGGGAAUCUACCUAUCUCUACGGAACAACUCCGGGAAACUGGAGCUAAUACCGUAUACGUCCUUCGGGAGAAAGAUUUAUCGGAGAUGGAUGAGCCCGCGUUGGAUUAGCUAGUUGGUGGGGUAAUGGCCUACCAAGGCGACGAUCCAUAGCUGGUCUGAGAGGAUGAUCAGCCACACUGGGACUGAGACACGGCCCAGACUCCUACGGGAGGCAGCAGUGGGGAAUAUUGGACAAUGGGCGAAAGCCUGAUCCAGCCAUGCCGCGUGAGUGAUGAAGGCCCUAGGGUUGUAAAGCUCUUUCACCGGUGAAGAUAAUGACGGUAACCGGAGAAGAAGCCCCGGCUAACUUCGUGCCAGCAGCCGCGGUAAUACGAAGGGGGCUAGCGUUGUUCGGAAUUACUGGGCGUAAAGCGCACGUAGGCGGAAUGUUUAGUCAGGGGUGAAAUCCCGGGGCUCAACCCCGGAACUGCCUUUGAUACUGGCAUUCUCGAGUCCGGAAGAGG